AUUCGGCCUUCGAUAGGUGCCACAACCAAAUCCAAAUCCCAAAAACCUAAAUCCUCUCACGCACUCCCUCCGCCGCCGCCCGCACGCCGCCGACCGCCCGCCAUCUCCACCACGCCGUCACCUGUCUCCUUCAUCCUCCUGCACCCCCACUGCUUAGGCGCCGAACACUAGUAACCCUGCGCUGGAGUUCAGGGAGAGGCCAAGGCGCGGUGGUGGACGCCGCCAUCCCCCUCAGAUCCGGGGCUGAGAGAGGGAGGGAGGGAGGGAGGGAGGGAGAGGUGGGUCACCUGCGAGAGAGAGCACUCGCGCCCUCGCUCGUCAGUCGUCACCCAGGGGCCGCCACCACCGCCACCACGCCAUGGGCUUCCUCCGAUCUGCGCUCGCCGGUUCGUUUGAAGAAGGAUCCGGUCGUUGACUGCUGGUGAUUCCCCUCCCACCGGUGAUCAGCCAUGACUUGGAAUAGUACUUCUAUCCAGCAAGCAUCGUUUUGGAUGUGAGCUCGAGCUCAAGCAACAAGCAGAGCAUCAAAAACAGGGGCUCUAUCUGCUAAUGGGGUAGCCGGCAAUGCAGUCUAAGAGGUACAUCUCGUGUGAUUUCUGGAUAUGAGAACUUGAGAAGAACAAGCUUGAUGCUAUUACUGAAAAAAAGAAUCUAUGCUACAGGAUUCUUCUUUGCAUCCCAUACACUUGGACGGAGUGGGAGGCCGCCGCAGCAAUGCUGGACUCGGAGCCGAAGCCAUCCCACGCCGCCAACAGCUUGCACCUCUUCGCGGAAAUCACCACAAGUGUGAUGUCUGUAUGGAAAAUCAGUAUUUUCUUGGUUCAUAUCCUAUCUGAAACUUGGAAUGUUUAUUGUUUGGCACAGCUUGACUUUCACAGUGGCCUGCAUAUUCUUCUGCUCACAAACAAGGCAAAACAUGCACCAUAGAAUGCUGGGAGAACAUAGAUUUAUUUUGCUCUUCGUACUUUUAUUAGAUAAGCCACAUUGCAAGGAGAAUAUGGAUUUAUGUUCCUCUUCCUACUAUUAUAAGAUAGGCCACAUUCUUUUUGUUUCAUUCAUGCCUUUGUUGCUGACAGUAUGGUUGUGUAAAUUCAACAUUGAUUUUUAAUGUUAGUACAUGAUUUACACAAAACUGGUAUUCAUAUUACUUGAGAUGUUGCAGGUACUGACAGUGUGAUGCCUUCAGAAUUGGCUCUCAAAACUUUCAACCAAGAUUAGAGCUAGCGUACAGUUUGCAGUUUAUAGUCAUACUCAUACUCAAUGAGUCCCUACCUCGGCUUCUGGGCAAGAUAUUCUUUACUUUUAGCAACCACUAUUGUUCAGGAAUUUUGAGUGGCGCACAUCCUGGUCUGGUGAAAGGCAAGCCGACGAGCGGACAUCAUUUGUCAAGGAAGCAAACAGAAGGACUACACUCACAAGGAACCAUGAAGCCAACGAUCCACGUCAUCUAGAUGUUUUAGCUUUCAUUUUGUACAACUGAUGUCUCGUACUUGCAUCUUUUGGUUGUCCUUUUGUAAACCUGAUGUAUGGUGUCUCAAUGGUUUUGUUUAGAACAGAUUGAAAUGUAUGUAUGUGCCAAUUUCUUAAUGGAAUAAAAAAUGUUUGGUGGUCC